rnacentral:rRNA from 1 species
UGCAGUUAAAGCUCGUAGUUGGAUUUUGGUUAAGAGGGCGCGGUCGGCCGUUUGGUCUGUACUGCGUUGUCUUGACUUCCUGAUGAGGACAUGCUCUUGGUUAACGCUGAGACAUGGAGUCAUCGUGGUUACUUUGAAAAAAUUAGAGUGUUCAAAGCGGGCUUACGCUUGAAUAUAUUAGCAUGGAAUAACACUAUAGGACUCCUGUCCUAUCUCGUUGGUCUCGGGAUGGGAGUAAUGAUUAAGAGGAACAGUUGGGGGCAUUCGUAUUUCAUUGUCAGAGGUGAAAUUCUUGGAUUUAUGAAAGACGAACUUCUGCGAAAGCAUUUGCCAAGGAUGUUUUCAUUAAUCAAGAACGAAAGUUGGGGGCUCGAAGAUGAUUAGAUACCAUCCUAGUCUCAACCAUAAACGAUGCCGACUAGGGAUUGGUGGAUGUUAAUUGAUGACUUCACCAGCACCUUAUGAGAAAUCAAAGUUUUUGGGUUCCGGGGGGAGUAUGGUCGCAAGGCUGAAACUUAAAGGAAUUGACGGAAGGGCACCACCAGGCGUGGAGCCUGCGGCUUAAUUUGACUCAACACGGGGAAACUUACCAGGUCCAGACAUAAGUAUGAUUGACAG